GACGAACGCUGGCGGCGUGCUUAACACAUGCAAGUCGAACGAUGAAGCCUUAGCUUGCUUUGGUGGAUUAGUGGCGAACGGGUGAGUAACACGUGAGCAACGUGCCCAGGACUCUGGAAUAACCGCGGGAAACCGUGGCUAAUACCGGAUAGGUGCCGAGGCCGCAUGGUCUUCGGUUGGAAAGUUUUUGCGGUUCUUGAUCGGCUCACGGCCUAUCAGCUUGUUGGUGGGGUAAUGGCCUACCAAGGCGACGACGGGUAGCCGGCCUGAGAGGGUGACCGGCCACACUGGGACUGAGAAACGGCCCAGACUCCUACGGGAGGCAGCAGUGGGGAAUAUUGCACAAUGGGCGCAAGCCUGAUGCAGCAACGCCGCGUGGGGGAUGACGGCCUUCGGGUUGUAAACCUCUUUUAGUAGGGAAGAAGCGCAAGUGACGGUACCUGCAGAAAAAGCACCGGCUAACUACGUG
rnacentral:rRNA from 1 species